rnacentral:rRNA from 1 species
CUCGUGUCGUGAGAUGUUGGGUUAAGUCCCGCAACGAGCGCAACCCUUAUUCUUAGUUGUUUUCCCUUUGGGAUUACCCUCUAAGAAGACUGCCUCGGAUAACGGGGAGGAAGGUGGGGAUGACGUCAAGUCCGCAUGCUCCUUACGUCUAGGGCUACACACGUCCUACAAUGGGGUCGACAAUGGGAUGCAAUAUCGCAAGAUGGAGCCAAUCCCCAAACGGCCUCUCAGUUCGGAUUGUAGUCUGCAACUCGACUACAUGAAGUUGGAAUCGCUAGUAAUGGCAGAUCAGCAUGCUGCCGUGAAUACGUUCCCGGGUCUU